UACGUAGGUGACCAGCGUUGUCCGGAUUUAUUGGGCGUAAAGAGCGCGUAGGCGGUCGUUCAAGUCGAGUGUGAAAGCCCCCGGCUCAACUGGGGAGGGUCAUUCGAUACUGAUCGACUGGAAGGCAGGAGGGGGAAGCGGAAUUCCUGGUGUAGCGGUGAAAUGCGCAGAUAUCAGGAGGAACACCAGUGGCGAAGGCGGAUCUCUGGGCCAUUACUGACGCUGAGGAGCGAAAGCGUGGGGAGCGAACAGG
rnacentral:rRNA from 1 species